rnacentral:rRNA from 1 species
GACGAACGCUGGCGGCGUGCUUAACACAUGCAAGUCGAACGGAAAGGCCUCUUUCGGGGGGUACUCGAGUGGCGAACGGGUGAGUAACACGUGAGUAACCUGCCCUUGACUUUGGGAUAACUUCAGGAAACUGGGGCUAAUACCGGAUAGGAGCUCCUGCUGCAUGGUGGGGGUUGGAAAGUUUCGGCGGUUGGGGAUGGACUCGCGGCUUAUCAGCUUGUUGGCGGGGUAGUGGCUUACCAAGGCUUUGACGGGUAGCCGGCCUGAGAGGGUGACCGGCCACAUUGGGACUGAGAUACGGCCCAGACUCCUACGGGAGGCAGCAGUGGGGAAGAUUGCACAAUGGGUGGAAGCCUGAUGCAGCAACGCCGUGUGCGGGAUGACGGCCUUCGGGUUGUAAACCGCUUUCGCUCAUGACGAAGCUUUGUGUGACGGUAGUGGGUAAAGAAGCACCGGCUAACUACGUG